CAUGCACUCACAGGAUGGACGUGGUCUCGCCUCACUGCUGUCGCACGCUUCAGACCUUCAUCAUCCUUGUCCUGUCAGGUCUUCACGUGUCCUCAGUUUCCUCUUUUAAAGUGACGGAGGGGGGCGUGGCUUCUCUGUCCUGUCAGUACUCCGUGAAGCGUUUCGGUCUGAGUCGGGUGUGUUGGGGUCGAGGUUGCGGGACCUUCUGGUGCAGCAACAUCCUGGUGCAGACGGACGAGAACGGCGUCAUCUCCAAGGUGGAGGACCGGUACAGGCUGACCGGGGACGUCCUUGACGGACAGAUGGAUCUUGACAUCGUGAACGUGAGGCGGACGGACAGCGGGCCGUACUGCUGCAGGGUGGACAUCGACGGGAUCUUCAACGACAAGAAGUCCAUCAUGAACCUGCGAGUGGUGAAAGCUCUGGUCACAAGUUCUCCUCCAACGACUACCACGACACCAACAACGAAUCAAGUAACAGAGCCGUCGUCCUCCACAGUAAACUGGAGAUCCCUGCUGUCGUCUCAGCUCGACCUGCUGAGGAAGAACUCCACCCUGCUGCGCCCCGACACCAUCACCGGGGAGGACUCUCUGCCCUCUCUCUCUCUUCAGAUCAAUGUUCCCGUCCUCUCUCUCUCCCUCACUGUGAUGUCCAUCGUGGCCGGAGUUUUCCUCUUUCUGGCCUUCAAACGUACAUUAUCGCUCUCUCUCUAUCUGUCUCUCUUUGACAAAUACUCUGCUUUAUAUCUUCUUCAUAGAGGACAUGCUGCCUGGAGGAUGAGGAGAGAGCUCUCUCCUCAUCCUCCAGGCAGCAGUAUUCCACUAAAAUGGUCUUAUUUGAGUGACUUUCUGAUGUAGCCCUUGUGUUUUUCUGCAGGUGGAAUCUACAACAGAGCCCUGAAGGCCGACUGUUUCUCGUCUGAAGAGCCGCCUCACAUCAUCUAUGAGAUCCGGAUGAGACGGCCAGUCCAGGAGA